rnacentral:lncRNA from 1 species
CACAAAAUGCAAAGACUAAAAGAUGCUUUUUCAGCUUGGAUUGUGGAGUUGAGGAGACCACAAAGCCACAGCUCACCUGACAAGAAUGUGUGUUAGAGAACUGAACCAUUAUUUUUAAAUGUGUCUUGUUGCAAUUGAGAUUUGGACAUCAUUAUAUAAAAAUAGAAUCCAUAUCAUGUCACGCUACUUCUCAAAAGCAGUCAAGACUUUCGGUGAUGUCUCCUGUGCCUACUAAUAAGGAAAAACCUUUCUGUCCACAUGGCUCCACCUAACUUCACUUCUAAAAAAGAACAAUUGGUG